rnacentral:rRNA from 1 species
GAUGAACGCUGGCGGCGUGCCUAAUACAUGCAAGUCGAACGAAACUUCUUUAUCACCGAGUGCUUGCACUCACCGAUAAAGAGUUGAGUGGCGAACGGGUGAGUAACACGUGGGCAACCUGCCCAGAAGAGGGGGAUAACACUUGGAAACAGGUGCUAAUACCGCAUAACCAUAGUUACCGCAUGGUAACUAUGUAAAAGGUGGCUAUACUACCGCUUUUGGAUGGGCCCGCGGCGCAUUAGCUAGUUGGUAGGGUAAAGGCUUACCAAGGCAAUGAUGCGUAGCCGAAUUGAGAGGUUGAUCGGCCACAUUGGGACUGAGACACGGCCCAAACUCCUACGGGAGGCAGCAGUAGGGAAUCUUCCACAAUGGGCGAAAGCCUGAUGGAGCAACGCCGCGUGGGUGAAGAAGGUCUUCGGAUCGUAAAACCCUGUUGUUAGAGAAGAAAGUGCGUGAGAGUAACUGUUCACGUUUCGACGGUAUCUAACCAGAAAGCCACGGCUAACUACGUG